rnacentral:rRNA from 1 species
GCUCCAAUAGCGUAUAUUUAAGUUGUUGCAGUUAAAAAGCUCGUAGUUGGAUUUCGGGUAGGUUCUAGCGGUCCGCCUAUGGUGAGUACUGCUAUGGCCUUCCUUUCUGUCGGGGACGGGCUUCUGGGCUUCACUGUCCGGGACUCGGAGUCGACGUGGUUACUUUGAGUAAAUUAGAGUGUUCAAAGCAGCUUACGCCU